GCUUGUCUCAAAGAUUAAGCCAUGCAUGUCUAAGUAUAAGCAUUAUACAGUGAAACUGCGAAUGGCUCAUUAUAUCAGUUAUAGUUUAUUUGAUAGUCCCUACUACUUGGAUAACCGUAGUAAUUCUAGAGCUAAUACAUGCACAAAGGCCCGACUUCUGGGAGAGGUGUAUUUAUUAGAUGGAAACCAAUGCGGGGCAACCCGGUAUAUGGUGAUUCAUAAUAACUUUCGGAUCGAUCUUCGGAUCGAUGCAUCAUUCAAGUUUCUGCCCUAUCAGCUUUGGAUGGUAGGGUAUUGGCCUACCAUGGCUUUAACGGGUAACGGAGAAUUAGGGUUCGAUUCCGGAGAGGGAGCCUGAGAAAUGGCUACCACAUCCAAGGAAGGCAGCAGG
rnacentral:rRNA from 1 species